GACGUAGGGCGCGAGCGUUGUCCGGAUUUAUUGGGCGUAAAGGGCGCGUAGGCGGCCACCGCAAGUCGACUGUGAAAUCUCCGGGCUUAACCCGGAAAGGUCAGCCGAUACUGCGGGCUAGAGUGCAGAAGGGGCAACUGGAAUUCUCGGUGUAGCGGUGAAAUGCGUAGAUAUCGAGAGGAACACCUGCGGCGAAGGCGGGUUGCUGGGCUGACACUGACGCUGAGGCGCGAAAGCUAGGGGAGCGAACGGG
rnacentral:rRNA from 1 species